CAAACGACUCUCGGCAACGGAUAUCUCGGCUCUUGCAUCGAUGAAGAACGUAGCGAAACGCGAUACUUGGUGUGAAUUGCAGAAUCCCGUGAACCAUCGAGUCUUUGAACGCAAGUUGCGCCCGAGGCCAUUAGGUCGAGGGCACGUCUGCCUGGGCGUCACAC
rnacentral:rRNA from 1 species